rnacentral:tRNA from 1 species
UCUUUUAUAGUUUAUACAAAAUUUCAAAUUUGGAAUUUGAAGAUUUAACUUUGUUAAUAAUUGAG